rnacentral:rRNA from 1 species
ACCUGGUGGCGAGUGGCGAACGGGUGAGUAAUACAUCGGAACAUGUCCUGUAGUGGGGGAUAGCCCGGCGAAAGCCGGAUUAAUACCGCAUACGAUCUAUGGAUGAAAGCGGGGGACCUUCGGGCCUCGCGCUAUAGGGUUGGCCGAUGGCUGAUUAGCUAGUUGGUGGGGUAAAGGCCUACCAAGGCGACGAUCAGUAGCUGGUCUGAGAGGACGACCAGCCACACUGGGACUGAGACACGGCCCAGACUCCUACGGGAGGCAGCAGUGGGGAAUUUUGGACAAUGGGCGAAAGCCUGAUCCAGCAAUGCCGCGUGUGUGAAGAAGGCCUUCGGGUUGUAAAGCACUUUUGUCCGGAAAGAAAUCCUUGGUUCUAAUAUAGCCGGGGGAUGACGGUACCGGAAGAAUAAGCACCUGCUAACUACGUGCCAGCAGCCGCGGUAAUACGUAGGGUGCGAGCGUUAAUCGGAAUUACUGGGCGUAAAGCGUGCGCAGGCGGUUUGCUAAGACCGAUGUGAAAUCCCCGGGCUCAACCUGGGAACUGCAUUGGUGACUGGCAGGCUAGAGUAUGGCAGAGGGGGGUAGAAUUCCACGUGUAGCAGUGAAAUGCGUAGAGAUGUGGAGGAAUACCGAUGGC